rnacentral:rRNA from 1 species
ACUCAAAUGAAUUGACGGGGCCCCGCACAAGCGGCGGAGCAUGCGGAUUAAUUCGAUGCAACGCGAAGAACCUUACCAAGGCUUGACAUGCAGGGAAAUCUCACAGAGAUGUGAGGUCCGCAAGGGUCCUGCGCAGGUGGUGCAUGGUUGUCGUCAGCUCGUGUCGUGAGAUGUUGGGUUAAGUCCCGCAACGAGCGCAACCCUCGUCUUAUGUUGCCAGCGGAUAAUGCCGGGGACUCAUAAGAGACUGCCGGGGUCAACUCGGAGGAAGGUGGGGAUGACGUCAAAUCAUCAUGCCCCUUAUGUCUUGGGCUUCACGCAUGCUACAAUGGCUGGUACAAAGGGCUGCGAGACCGCAAGGUGGAGCGAAUCCCAAAAAGCCAGUCUCAGUUCGGAUUGGGGUCUGCAACUCGACCCCAUGAAGUCGGAGUCGCUAGUAAUCGCAGAUCAGCAACGCUGCGGUGAAUACGUUCCCGGGGCUUGUACACACCGCCCGU